rnacentral:rRNA from 1 species
GAUGAACGCUAGCGGCAGGCUUAAUACAUGCAAGUCGUUGGGCAGCACAGGUAGCAAUACUGGGUGGCGACCGGCAAACGGGUGCGGAACACGUACGCAACCUUCCUUUAAGCGGGGAAUAGCCCAGGGAAACUUGGAUUAAUACCCCAUAAGAUAAUUGGGUGGCAUCACUUGAUUAUUAAAGCUCCGGCACUUAGAGAUGGGCGUGCGGCUGAUUAGGUAGUUGGCGGGGUAACGGCCCACCAAGCCGACGAUCAGUAACUGGUGUGAGAGCACGACCAGUCACACGGGCACUGAGACACGGGCCCGACUCCUACGGGAGGCAGCAGUAAGGAAUAUUGGUCAAUGGACGCAAGUCUGAACCAGCCAUGCCGCGUGGAGGAUGAAGGCCCUCUGGGUUGUAAACUUCUUUUAUUGGGGAAGAAACCCAUCUUUUCUAAGGUGGUUGACGGUACCCAUUGAAUAAGCACCGGCUAACUCCGUGCCAGCAGCCGCGGUAAUACGGAGGGUGCAAGCGUUAUCCGGAUUCACUGGGUUUAAAGGGUGCGUAGGUGGGCAGGUAAGUCAGUGGUGAAAUCUCUAAGCUUAACUUAGAAACUGCCGUUGAUACUAUCU